GGGGGUUUAGCUCAGGUGGUAGAGCGCCUGCUUUGCUAGCAGGAUGUCAAGAAUUCGAGUCUCUUAACCUCCC
rnacentral:tRNA from 1 species